GUGCUCACUUCAGCAGCACAAAUAUUAAAAUCAGAAUGAUACAGAGAAGAUUAGCAUGGCCCCUGCACAAAGAUGACAUGCAAAUUCAUGAGGCUAUUCCAUUCAAA
rnacentral:snRNA from 1 species